GGGGGUGUAGCUCAGUGGUAGAGUGCCUGCCUAGCAUGCUCAAAGCCCUGGGUUUUAUCCUCAGCACCUCCU
rnacentral:tRNA from 1 species